UUUAUUGGAGAGUUUGAUCCUGGCUCAGGAUGAACGCUGGCGGCGUGCCUAAUACAUGCAAGUCGAGCGAAUGGAUUAAGAGCUUGCUCUUAUGAAGUUAGCGGCGGACGGGUGAGUAACACGUGGGUAACCUGCCCAUAAGACUGGGAUAACUCCGGGAAACCGGGGCUAAUACCGGAUAAUAUUUUGAAUCGCAUGGUUCGGAAUUGAAAGGCGGCUUCGGCUGUCACUUAUGGAUGGACCCGCGUCGCAUUAGCUAGUUGGUGAGGUAACGGCUCACCAAGGCAACGAUGCGUAGCCGACCUGAGAGGGUGAUCGGCCACACUGGGACUGAGACACGGCCCAGACUCCUACGG
rnacentral:rRNA from 1 species